rnacentral:rRNA from 1 species
GACGUAGGGUCCAAGCGUUGUCCGGAUUUACUGGGCGUAAAGAGCGCGUAGGCGGUCUGUUAAGUGUAGAGUGAAAUCUCUGGGCUCACCCCAGAAACUGCUCUGCAUACUGGCAGGCUUGAGGGAUGCAGAGGUUUGUGGAAUUCCUGGUGUAGCGGUGAAAUGCGUAGAUAUCGGGAGGAACACCUGUGGCGAAAGCGGCGCACUGGACCACAACUGACGCUGAGGCGCGAAAGCUAGGGGAGCAAACAGG